rnacentral:lncRNA from 1 species
AGAGAGAGAGAGUACGCGGGUGGCGAGCUCGUAAGACUGAGCGUUGUCGAUGAUGGAACCGGACUUGCCUCCACCGCCGCCGCCCUCCCUCCUCUUCUUCUUCUUGCCGCUCCUCUUCUUCGGAUCGUCGUCGCGAGGGACGCCGCCGCCGUUGAGGAGCUCACUCCGAGGCUCGACACCGCUCUCCUCCGCUUAAGCUUCGUGCGCUCUCUUCUUCUUCGGCAUUCCCGCUCUCCGAUAUCAGAAAGUUUCGAUUUUUCAACACGGUACGAGGUCGACCGGUCAAGGGUUUAGCCGUCGAUCUUGGUGGUGUAUUGCCUUUCAGGAUCUAAGGCCUGACAGUUGCAUAGAUGGAAGUGGAUGAGCAGGGUUUAGCAUGUGAGUAGAGUUAGAGGCUAAAGCUAUUAGCGUUAGACGCAAAUGGCAGUGAUCAAUCACGGAGUCAAUUGAGGAAAGAAUUUGAUGCUGAUAUGAGAGUCCCUCUCUUGUUUCCAUCAAAUCUGCAUCUAGUUGCAUUACGGAACAGACCCAAUUCAUUCAAAAGAAGGCAAUAAACGAGAGGAAAUUUCCGGAGAUGGAGGGGCUGAAGAUGAACAGUCCGGAUCAAAUGCUGAGAAGCAGAAUCGUUCUUGGCUUUCGAGAUCGGCGGAAGAAAGACAGAGACUUCUAUGAGACGGUGAAUUCACCCUCCCUCGCCGUACCCUUCCAGGAAAGCGAGGGCUUGCUUGUUGAUUUUAAUCAUCCUAUUAUUUAAGAUUUGAAUAGUCCAAUCAUUGGGAAUUACGAUUGGUUAUAAAUAUUAUAAAUUGAUAAGUAGAUGACGAAGCACAAAAUAUAAGUCAACUUGAUUAUAUUUAUAAAUUAGCUACGAAUAAAACCAAAUAAAUAUCAGAUUGAUAUAUUGAUGCUAAUCAUUCAUUGAAAAAUUGUGCCAUUACGAUUUUUUUUUUUAAACAAUGACAAAUUAAUUUAGAUUUCUACUAACGCAAUAUUGUACUAUAUCUACUAUGAUUUAUAACACAGUCAUAUGGUAAAAUCUGCAUUAAAUUCAUAAUGCACAUGAUAAAUUACUGAUAGUGUUGGAAACUUACAACAACAGUUAAAGUUCACUAAAAUGUUGGUAAAAUUCUGAUGGUGUAAGCAAUUUACUUACAGCACUGAUAAAAUUCCAGAAGAAUUUGUAAUUUGCUAAAUUAAUGAAAAAUUGAUAAAUUUCAGAUAGUAUAGGUAUUUUACUACGGGUGUACCUAACAAGCAAGAACCGGUCAUUUUUUUUUACAAGCACGAUUGCCAGCAAAAUUGCAAUUUCACCAACAGGGAAGACUUUUCAAUUCUCAAGUCCUGCGGGACCGUAGAAUUUUGCCAAAGAUUCAUUCGUCUCCGCCUCUACGACAAAAACUUAAAAGCCCACCUAAUAUUUCAAAUGGUGAAACUUGAAAUGCAAUCAUGAAUUCACUCUAAAGCACAUGUAAAAAUCUGUUUUGAGUUAUCAAAACUAAAGAACCUUUGCGACCAUUGCAAAUGAUCAUUAACUGGAUGAUUAACCCCUACUUCUUCAUUUCUUCAAUGUGGAAAUUUUACGGGAAAUCAACAACAAUUCUGUGAAUAUGGAUAUGGUUGCUAAUGUCUACUUAAAUUCGUGACAUUGAAUGCAAGACAUUCUCAGUGUACUUUCUCAAGAACAUCAAUCUCUGCAAAUGAAUCCUGGAUCAAGUCAUCUUCAAUCCUUGAUCAAUUUCACCGAAAGGCAAAAAUUGCCGUUCAUAUCAAAUGAGGCGAUCAAAUGAGGCGACAAUGCCGGAAGAGUGCUACUACCAAGGACGGAUAGAGCUGCCGCUUUUCAAAGAAAUUAUUACAAGCAAGGGAAAUUUCAAAUUGCCUACUUAGAAGAAUCCAUUUGGAAAUCAUCUCUCGACUCUUAGUACGUUUCUAACGAUUUUCUCCAAGUUGCCUCUAAUUGAAGAUUCAAUUUUUUUAAGUUCAAAUCUGACAGGAAGUUUUUCUGCUUGUCGUAGAAAUAUAUUGAUAUUCACAUCACUUAGUCAUACAAGAACUUUAUAUUACAAACAUGGGAUGUCUUCUCAAAUAGGUUGACAAAGUGAAUGUUGCUCAUUCAUAUGAAAAGUUGAGGUAGGUAGUUGAUGCAACCCGAAGACGAGGUCAGCAAUCUGGAAUAGAGGUAGGUCGAUACAAUCUCCCUCCCUCCCUCCUGAAGUAGGUAUCCAAAGUGAGCUGACGAUCAGGAGAGAACAGGCGUAACAAAGAGAGAGGACCAACAUCAUGCCCUCGUGGAACAGAACGAAGCGCAAGAAGAUGUGGUCACAGUCCCAGAGGGAGAUCCCCGCCAGGUCGAUUCGCACAUCAUGCUUCCACUCGGGGUCGCCAUCGCAUUCCUUGACGGACAGAGUCCCUUGCUACUGGUUCUGGGCGAGCUUCUUGCUCGGGGGUCGUCGCUGACGAUGGAGGAAGAAGGAAAAAACAAAUAGAGUGAGAAGAGAGACGCAGCAGGAGGAGAAAAGAAAAAGGAGAAGAAAGUCAAAAUUUCUGAAGAAGGGUCCCACCUGUACAUGUGGCCAUCGAUUUACGUUCUCAAGUAUAUCCUACAUGGCACAACGUAUUACCCUUCCAAGUUCUUUUGUCGGCCUUGCCAAUUUUUUCAGAUCUCUGUACUUAUCGGAUUCCAAAGUCUACUCGAACUUCUCAGAUUCACCUAUAUAAAAACUUGCCAGAUUCUUGAAGCUUGAAGAAUCAGAUAACUUUUGCAGAGACCCACAGUGAUAAAUAGAAAGCCUCUCCAAUGAUUCUAGCCUAUCUUGAAUCUCAACCAGACCAAGACAAUUUACUAGAUUAAGUAGCUCAAGUUUCUUGCAGUUGGUCAAGUCAGGCAACUUCACUAAGGACGGAAGAUUCCUAAGAUUUAAGUACUUCAAGUGCCCCGAAUCUUCCAGGCCUCGAAUCUCUUUUAGCUUCCAACAGCUAGAUAUAAGGACUUGUUCUAUCUUUUUGAAGCUUAAUGGAUCGGGCAACUUUUCGAGAGAUUCACAGGACAUAAUAUAAAGUAUCUCUAGCGAUUCUAACUGACCUCCAACCUCAACUAGUUUAGGACAAUUUAAUAUCCACAUUCCCGUGAGCUUCUUCAAGUUGGUCAAGUCAAGCAACAACUUCACCAAAAAUGGAAGAUGAUCAAAAUGAAGCCAUUUCAGGUUUUCCAAACGUGCAAGACCUUGAAUCUCAAUUAGCUGUUCACAAUUAUUGACUUCCAAUUUUGAUAACUUUUCCAAAUAUGAAAGAUCUAUUAAAUUUCCAUUAAGCUUUGCCCAAAAAUACGGAGGUGUGACAAAUUCUGGGGAAGCUUAGGUAGGCAUUCUAGCUUAUCUACAAGGAGUUCAAGCUUCCUGAGCUUAGAAAGGAGAUUAAAAUCUGAAGGUAGGGUGGCUAGACUAUGACAACACAACAUCAAGGACUCCAGCUUUCUCAAUCCUCCGAUCCAAUGGAGGCUUGGAGCUGCAUGGAAUAGGGCUCCAUACAUCAAACCCAACUCCAAAACUCUCAAAAUUAAUAGGUUUGAGAUAUCUAGCAAUCUCAUCACUGACCUGGUUGUAAUGUAUAGAUUGGUCAAACUUUCAGGAAGCUUAGGUACUUUAGAAAUUAUCAUGUCCGAUAAUCUCAAGAUCCUCAGCAAUGGUAGUCUUCCAAUCUCACUAGGAAUUUCCUCCAAAUUUCUACAAUUUUCGGCAUCUAUCUCUUCAAGCUUCUCCAACAUUCCAAGGGCACUAGGUAGCUUUCUUAAGUGGGUGCGAUGCAGUCUUAGUACUCUCAAAUUCUUUGCCACCUGUAAUGAAGAGAAGAUGUUAAUUCUGGACCAUUUUGAGAUACAAGACAGCAGAGUCAAUAUAGCAAAUUAAUUGUGAAAUAAUACCAUACCUUGAGGUGGUUCCAUCCCUCCCAAUCAUUUGUAAUUUUGCUCCAUGAUAGAUCAAGAAUCACUAGCUUCAUACGGGAAAAUGCGGUCAACUGGAAAAAAGAGAGGAAACUCAUGCCAUGAGAGAUAUCUCAAAUUCUGAAGGAUGAGUAGAUUCCUUUGGAACCAAUUGGUUGGAGGGAAAUACUGAAUGAAGUUAUGCCAUGAGAACCAUCUCAACUCCGAAAGAAUGAGUAGAUUCCUCAGGAACAAGUUGGUUGAAGGAAAAUGCUGAAUGAAGUUAGGCCAUGAGAGCCACCUCAAAUUCGGAAGGAUGGGUAGAUUCCUCCUAAACCAGUUGGUUAAAGAAAAACACUGAAUGUUGUUCAUAUCCAAGUCUCCACAUUCCACUUGAAGAAACCUUAAAUUUGAUAGACUUUCAUAUUCUUCAUGUUGGAGUUUUGUUUGUUAAAACAAAAGGAGUGCUUUUUUCUUUGUCCCAUAGAGAAAAGGUAGGAGGAAGUGGGCCGAUUUUAAAAUGUGGGAUUUCCUUUUUGUAGUUAAAGGAAUGAUUGGGUGGGGCUAGACCCCACCAUACCCGCGUGUGGGUGCGCGAAUAAUUGCGCGAUUUUGGCGUGAUUAUUUGGCGCACUUAGCACUUUGCACGCCCGUGGAUUAAUUAGCACUAAUCCCUUUGUUAUUUAUUUAUUUUUUUGUUAUUAUUUUUUUAUUCAAUUCAAAGGUUGCCUUUUAUUUUGAAAAUUUUCAGAAAUGAAAUAUAAAAAUGAAAAUUCGAAAUUUUAUUUAAAAAAUUAUUACUCAGAAUUUUGUUUGUGUCUUUUCAAGACAACCUUUGAAAAAUUACUUAUUCGAUUUUGCAACUUUUCCCGAAGGGUUGCAAUUUUUCGGUUUUCAACUUCUUCCGAAGAGUCGCAUUUGUUUAUCCGAACAAUUUUCUAAAGGAUGUGUUUGUUCAUUCUUUGGCAAUUUUCACGAAGAGUUGCAAGACUGUUUCAUAUAUAUACUUGUUAAUUUUCGGAAGGAAAAAGUGAUCAUUUUUUAGUCUUCUUUUAGAAAAACUGCAGCUAAUUUUUCGAUUGUUUCCUAGAGAAACCCUAGAGAAAUACUAGAAUUGAUAUCUAGCAUUCUCAUCCGAGACUUUGUUGUAUCCUGGAGGACUUUUGCCAGUGACCAUUAGCAACGUUGUGGGGCAAAUAAAUCUUUAAAGAUAGUAAUAUCAUGCCUCAAAGUCCGAGUUGUUUUACUCGAUCUGAUUGCUUUGUCCAACCCAUUUCGAAGCCAUAUUUUUCCAACAAUUUUAAGGAUUUAUCUUGCUACAAUGGAGUCAGAGACAAUCAAAGUUAUGAAUCAAGAUAUGGUCAAACUAGACCGGUUCGAUGGGAACAAUUUUGCUCGCUAGAGGGACAAGAUGAUGUUCUUACUCACUGCUCUGAAGAUCUCCUACAUACUGGAUCCUAACUUAGCGCCUAUAGAAGAUCCUAAGCCUACUUCCGAUGGAGGACUUGGCGCCUAUAGAAGAUCCUAAGCCUACUUUCGAUGGAGGACAACCAAGUGCGGAAGCCAUUGAGAGGGUUAAUAAGGAAAAGAAGAAACGUGUGGAGGGUGAAUUACUUUGUCAAGGACACAUUCUGAAGACACUCUCCGAUCGUCUGUACAACUUAUUCAUUGAAAUGAAGUCGGCCAGAGAAAUCUGGAAUGCAUUGGAAUUCAAGUACAAAGUGGAUGAGCAAAGUACCAAUAAAUAUCUAAUCGCAAAGUAUUUUGAUUUCAAGUUUAUUAAUAUUAAACCCUUGCUGGAACAAGUCCAUGAAUUGCAAGUGAUUGUGAAUAAGAUUCGUGCCCUCAAGAUUGAUAUUCCAAAAGCUUUUCAAGUUGGAGCAAUUAUUGCGAAAUUGCCUCCAAGUUGGAAAGAUUAUGGAAAAAAGGCUGAUUCACAAGUCGGAGGACUUUACUUUGGAGCAAAUACAGAAACAUCUUCGCAUUGAGGAAGAGUCACGUUUACGUGAUAAUUCUGUUUUGUACAAUUCCAAGGUGAAUGUUGUGGAUAAAAAACGAAAACUCGGCCAGAACUUCAAAGUAAAAAGCGGGGGGCAUAAAUUCAAGAGAACACAAAAGAAGCAAAAGGGUUGCUAUUUUGUUUGUGGUAAACAGGGACACUACGCUAAGGAUUGCAUUCACCGCAAGAGCAUUUCAAAGGACAAGAACAUUCCGGUGAUGAAAGCAGAUGCAAAUCUGGUUGAAGAAAAUUAUGUAGCCAUGAUUUCAAACAUGUUUUCGAACAUGGAAAUUUUUGAAAUCAAUGAUGCGAUGGCUAUGGUUUUUGAAAUUAAUUCUCCCAUUGUCCAAUCCGGUUGGUGGAUAGAUUCUGGAGCAACAGUCCAUGUGUGCAAGCACAAGUACAUGUUCAAGCAAUUUGAAGAGAUUGUUGACUCAAAUGUUCAAGAGAUCCUGAUGGCGAAUAAUGCUCUUGCAAAUGUUGCUGGAAAAGGCAUGGUGGAGAUAGACUUCACUUCUUGAAAGAAGAUAACUCUUCUUAAUGUGUUAUUUAUACCCGAAAUUAGGAAGAACCUAGUUUCUAUUGAUUUACUUUGUAAGAGGGGGUUUCGGGUUUUGUUUAAAUCCGACAAGGUUAUCCUGUUGAAAAAUGUGUUGUUUGUUGGGAAGGGUUAUGCCAAUGGUGGCAUGUAUCAACUGAGUAUCAAUAAUAAUAUUUCUAGUUCUGCUUAUAUUGUCGAGUCUUCAAUUUUAUGGCAUAAUAGGUUGGCACAUAUAAAUAUUCGUUAUUUGAAGAAUAUGAGAAAAUUAGACUUGAUAAAUUUUAAUGGCGAAUUUGAUAAAUGUGAAAUAUGUGCUAAGUCAAAACUUACUAAGAAGCCAUUUCCUAGUGUUAAAAGAAAUUCGAAUUUAUUGGAUUUGGUUCAUAGUGAUAUAUGUGAAUUUAAUGGUAUGCUAACACAUGAAGGUAAAAUGUAUUUUAUUACCUUUGUGGAUGAUUGCAGUAGGUUCUUAUAUGUUUAUCUCAUGAGAUCAAAGGAUGAAGCAUUUACCAUGUUUAAUAAAUAUAAGGCUGAAGUAGAGAAUCAAUUAGAAAAGAAAAUUAAAGUUCUACGAUCAGAUAGAGGUGGAGAAUAUUUCUUAAAUGAAUUCUCUUCAUUUUGUGAAGAACAUGGUAUAAUUCAUCAAGUUUCAGCACCAUAUACUCCACAACAAAAUGGUUUAGCUAAAAGGAAAAAUCGAUCUCUUGGAGAAAUGGUUAAUUGUAUGCUUUCAAAUUCAAAGCUACCAAUUAAUCUUUGGGGAGAAACAUUACUUACUGCAUGUUAUUCAUAAUAGAAUGACUUCCAAGAAAAAUGACAUAACCCCUUAUGAAAUAUGGAAAGGUAGAAAGCCAAAUUUGUCAUAUCUUAAAGUGUGGGGGUGCUUGGCAUUCUACCGAGCUUCAGAUCCUAAGAGAACAAAGCUCGGUCCUAGAGCUAUCAAAAGUGUUUUUGUUGGAUAUGCUGAAAAUAGUAAAGCUUAUAGGCUUCUUGAUUUAGAGUCCAAUGUCAUAGUAAAAUCAAGAGACGUUGAAUUCUUUGAGAAUAAAUGUUUUACAAGUUCUGAAAUUAUUGAAAAUAAUUCAAGAUUUAUGGAAACUCAAAGUGAUUCUCAAGAGAAAGAAACGAAUGAUUCUAAAGACAUGAUUGAACCAAGGAGAAGUACUAGAGCUAGGAAAAUAAAAGACUUAGGUCCUGAUUUUAUUACUCAUGUUUUUCUUGUUGAAGGAGAUUGAGAUAAUAAUGUGGUAAAUAAAUACCCUUUAGUAUUAAAUUUAGAAAAUGAUCCUAGAAGCUUUGAUGAUGUUAUGUCUUCUAGAGAUGCUUCCUUUUGGAAAGAAGCUGUGAAUGAUAAAAUGGACUCAAUUAUGUCCAAUAAUACUUGGGUAUUAGUAGAUUUACCAAAAGGAUCAAAACCUAUUGGGUGCAAAUGGGUUUUUAGAAGAAAAUAUCAUUCUGAUGGUUCUAUUCAAACUUUUAAAGCUAGGCCUUAGCUAAGGGAUAUAGACAAAAAGAAAGAAUAAAUUAUUUUGAUACAUAUGCUCCUGUUGCAUGUAUAACUUCUAUUCGAGUUCUUUUUGCUCUAACUUCCAUUUAUGAUCUUUGUGUUCAUCAAAUGGAUGUUAAGACUGAUUUCUUAAAUGGAGACUUAAAUAAAGAGAUUUACAUGGAACAACCGGAGGGUUUUGUUCUUCCUAAAAAUGAAAGAAAAGUAUGUAAAUUGAUUAAAUCUCUUUAUGAACUUAAGCAAGCUCCUAAGCAGUGACAUAAAAAGUUUAAUUCGGUCAUAUUGUCAAAUGGUUUCAUCAAUAGCAGUGCCGAUAGGUGUAUAUACUCUAAAUUCACUAAAGACUAUGGUGUCUUAGUGUGCUUGUAUGUUGAUGAUAUGCUUAUCUUUGAAACGAAUAUGACUGGAAUUAAUGAGACUAAGAAGUAUCUAACUUCCAUGUUUAAAAUAAAGGAUUUGGGUGAAGUAGAUACUAUCUUAGGUAUUAAAGUUAAGAAACAUAGUGGGGGUUAUUCUUUAAGCCAAUGUAGUUAUGUUGAAAAAUUAUUAAAUAAAUUUCAACAUCUUGAUUUUAAAGAAAUAAGUACUCCAUUUGAUUCCAAUAUUAAAUUAAAUUAUAAUACUGGUAGAGCGGUGGUAUAACUAGAAUAUGCAAGUGCUAGAGGGUCUUUAAUGUAUGUGAUGCAUUGUACUAGACCCGAUAUUGUUUAUUAUGUAUGCAAGUUGAGUAGGUAUACUAGUAAUCCAAGUACAGAACAUUGGAGAGCUAUUACUAGAAUUUUUGGUUAUCUUAAGAGAACUAAAAAUUUAGGAUUGUUCUACAAUAAUUAUCCGGUUAUAUUAGAAGGAUACACUGAUGCUAGUUGGAUUACAAGUGUGGGAGGUGAGCGUUCCACUUCUAGAUGGAUCUUCACACUAGUUAGAGGUGUUGUAUCUUGGGCGAGCAAGAAACAGACAUGUAUAACUCACUCAAUAAUGGAAUAUGAAUUUAUUGCUUUGGUGACAGCCAGGAAAGAGAAUGAAUGGAUUAGAAAUUUGUUGUUGGAUAUCAAAUUAUUUCUAUCCACUGUGAUAGUCAGGCCACUUUGGCAAGAGCCUAUAGUAACACCUAUAAUGGUAAGUCUAGACAUAUUAGUCUAAGACAUGAAUAUGUGAGACAAUUAAUUAAAAAUUGUACCAUAACAAUUAUCUAUGUGAGGUCAAGUAAAAAAUCUUGUAGAUCCUUUGACGAAGGCUUUACCAAGACAUAUGGUAAUAACUACCUAACAAAAAAUGGGGCUGAAACCCUUUAAUUGAAAUCACCAAUAAUGGUAACCUGACCUUUUUCUAGAACAUCACUAGUUACAAGGUUUAAUAGUGCGGAGUAAUAUAAAACUUCUUGCUAAAAUAAGAGGUUAGUGUAUGUGCGAUAUGUCUGGUUCUAUUACAUAAAAGUACAAGUUUAAAGCCGAACUACUUGUCACUUUGAUAGAGCUUUGAUAUACUUACACUAAGUAAAUGUUUAACUCGAAAGAGACCUUUAUGUAUGUAUAUUAAUCUUACUGAAAAUUUGGCUAUAUGGUUUUUUAAAAUUUUAUUUUUGAAAUCUUUGUUUUACAAACAAAGUGGGGGAUUGUUGGAGUUUUGUUUGUUAAAAGAAAUUGAGUGAUUUUUUCUUUGUCCCACAUAAAAACGGUGGGAGGAAGUGGGCCAAUUUAAAAAUGUGGGAUUUCCUUUUUGUAGUUUAAGGAAUGAUUGGGUGGGGUUAGACCUUCACCAUACCCGCGUAUGGGUGCGCGAUUUUGGCGCGAUUAUUUGACGCACUUAGCACUUUGCACGCUCGCGGAUUAAUUAGCACUAAUCCCUUUGUUAUUUAUUUAUUUGUUUUGCUAUUAUUUUUUUUAUUCAAUUCAAAGGUUACCUUUUAUUUUGAGAAUUUUCAAAAAUAAAAUAUAAAAAUGAAAAUUCAAAAUUUUAUUAAAAAAAUUAUUAUUCUGAAUUUUGUUUGUGUCUUUUCAAGACAACCUUUGAAAAAUUACUUAUUCAAUUUUGCAACUUUUCCCGAAGGGUUGCAAUUUUUCGGUUUUCAACUUCUUCCGAAGAGUCACAUUUGUUUAUCCGAACAAUUUUCUAAAGGAUGUGUUUGUUCAUUCUUUGGCAAUUUUUACGAAGAGUUGCAAGACUGUUUCAUAUAUAUACUUGUCAAUUUUCGGAAGGAAAAAGUGGUCAUUUUCGAAUCUUCUUUCAGACAAACUACAAUCAAUUUUUCGAUUGUUUCCUAGAGAGACCCUGGAGAAAUACUAGAAUUGCUAUCUAGCAUUCUCAUCCGAGACUUUGUUGUAUCCUGGAGGAUUUUUGCCAGCGACCAUUAGCAACGUUGUGGGACAAAUAAAUCUUUAAAAAUAGUGAUAUCACGCCUCAAAGUCUGAGUUGUUUUACUCGAUCCGAUUUCAUUGUUCAAUUCAUUUCGAAGUCAUAUUUUUCCAACACUUCCUUCUUAAAGAAGCAUUGAGAUUGAUGAUCAAACUUGAGACAUAUGGCUUCAGUGUGUCUUGUUCCCUGCCAAAGAAAAAAAGGGAAACAUAAGUUGGUUAUCAUAUAAUCACCAAUUGAAGGCAUACGAGUUGAACAUACCCAAGAAAUGGACAUCUUAUUCAUAAUUUGAAAUUAAUUUACAAUAUGAUUUAUAGAUGCACAUGUGAUCACAGUAACCACAUAAUUAACUUCUCGGUUCAGAUAAAAGCAAAUAAGCAAAGUCAAUGUGUAUAACCCUUCUCUUUGAAUAGGAAUAACAUGGCAAACACUUUACCUCCUUUCUUUUAAGAACAUCAAUUGCUUCCUCAUGAUUCCACACCUGACUUUGCUUCUCUAGUUUAAAAUUAGCUCUUUCACGAAUGAUAUCUUGCCCAAGGUCUCUUAGCUGAUUAUGCACCCACAAUUGGUUACCUUCUACAAUCUUCAUUAACGACAUCCAUUUGAGGACUUCAGGAGAAUAUUUAGGGAAAAGCUUACAGCUGUCCCAUAUGUAUGUCACAAUUCUCACAUCAAACCCAACAAAGAAGAAGCAAAUAUCGAGAAAUAUUUCAUUCUCUUCAAGUUCUACUGCCUCAAAACUAAUGUUCAACUUACUUUUAACCCUUUUAUUGGGAAUAGUUUUCAAUUUUUCUAAUGUGUCCACCCAAAAUUUUCUGUUCUUUCCAGCUAAAAAUGAACCUAUAAUCUCUAGAGCCAAAGGAAGACGACCACAGAUUUCUACCGCUUUUUUUGAGAGGGGGAUGUAUUCUGCUGGAGGAUGAUCUCUUCUAAAGGCAUGUUUGCUAAACAGUAGAAGAGAAUAAUUGAAAUCCAUUUCAGUAAGUUCGUGCUUCAAAUCAACAUCUUUGAGAACUUCCUCAUUUCUUGUGGUAAUAAUAACCUUAAUUCAUCUACCGAACCAGCAUUGACCCGUCCCCACAAGAGCCUCCAGUUGAGUGCUUUGGUCGACAUCAUCAAAUACAAUUAAAAUAUUUUUAGAGGAUAACCUAUUCUUGAUCUCAGUAAUUCCCUCAUUAAUACUAUUGAUGGAUGGCCAUUCCAUUCUUAGGACUUUAGAGAUGAGCUGAUUCUGCAAACUUACAAUCUUUGUCUCUCGAAUGUUAGACAAGAAGCAACAAUUAUCAAAAUCAGCCGACAGUUUAUUAUAGACAAUUGUGGCAAGAGUUGUCUUUCCGACACCACCCAUACCAUGGAUACCAACAAUAUUUGUUCCAGUGGUCUGUUCACUUAUCUUUUCCAUGAUUUGGUCUACUUGAUCAUCCAUUUCAACCAAGCAAUUAGAUACUGCCAGGUAGUUCUUUUUCAACUCGAUCAAAAGCUUCCAAACAACUUCUUCGGUGAACUCACAUUUGCCUCUGAUAGUAGUGAUGGCAAAAGAACCCAACUGUUAAAUCGAGAUGAGCAAAAUAAUAUCUAAGGUACAAACAAAUCCUGAACAAUAAUAAAUUCAAGUACCUCUCCUUGAGUUCCCAUCCUCUUAACGCUCCAACCUUGCUAAGAGCUACCUUCCAGUUAUGAAUAGUCUCAUCAGUGUACCGCCACUUAUUUAUGUGUAAAUUAAUGGCCUCACCGUAACUUCCAGUUUGGUUACGAACCUCGGAUGGUGCUAUGUUGUAGAAAAUCGGCAUAAUCUUUCGUCCCCAGCUUUCCUUGCACCCCACCAUUUGGACCAUGGACUGGCAGCAUAUCAUUUAGAAAGAUAGAUGAGGACUGAGGAGUACAUACAUCCUUUGGGGGCAGUACCUGAUCUUAAUAAACAGCUAACUCUAUCAUUUCAGAGUUAUCCUAAAUUGCAUACCCUAUUAGUAAACGAGUAUAUCGCAUAGCAAUAAAUAUGAAAUGCACUGGCACGUACAUACCAAGUGACUAUAUCUAUCGCCAUGUUUCAAACAUUUGCAAAUAAACCUACAUGCUUGUUUAACAAUGGAUGCGAUUACAUUAAUUAGUUUAUCUAUACCUUGAGUCGUUGGGGUAGAUUUGUCAUACACCUACCCUGGAAAAAAGGGGCUACAAGGUUCGUGGUAAUUUAAGUGCGAUUGCAACCCAAACCACUUUGAGAGCCCACUCCUGAUGUGACCGGCAGUACUAAACUAUGUUUCUGGAGCUUCUUAGGUUGAUGUCCUUUGAAUUUUGUGAUUGGUGCGAAGAUGACAUCUCUCUUGCAAAUGCACGAGAGAAGUCAGUGCAAUCUGCUAAAUGUAUGAGAGUGGUUGGCCCGUCCCCAGCAGAACCGCUCGAACGAUUAUCAAAUACUGUCGCAGAACCCAGGAUGUUCUUUUUAUAUAUCUGCUCUGCCCUUCGGAGUAGAAUACAAACAAAAAUCAUGUAAAGUCGCUGAGAGAGGUGAACUACUCUGCAUUUUAUACAGUAACUCCGACCCCAACAUGAUGUGGCCCGACGACAUUGGUGCUUCAGGGGUUGUUGCUCAGAGCAGAACACCGAACUGCUUCAAAAGGGUUGGUGAGACCAAAUCGAGUCAAUUUUGUAAUGGACUCAGUCAUCUUUCACUUUCCGAGGUCAUUGUCCCGCAUAUUGUAAUGAACUCAGUUUACCUCCAGAGACCGCCCAUGACGUCCGGCACAGUGCCCGCUAAGAUUGUAAUGGAUCCAAUGAUGGUGAUGUUAUUGCAACUGCUAUCGCGUGAGGGCUCACUACCCUAGCUAGGACCUCGAGGAGUAUUGCCAGCCCUUAUUGGGACAACAUAUAAACCCCCAAUUAUUCUCCCAUUCCCGAGCUCUCGUCUCUUUGCUGCCUUCAUCAUUUUCUUUGUUUUUUGUCUUUCAAAUUUGAUGUUUAUUUUUCAAUUUUUAUGAUUUUUACUUGUUUGUAGUGCUCUUCAAUUUUGUGACGUGACAUUUCAUGGAACAAUUUUGUGUUGUACCAAAAAGAUUGAAAUGACAAUUAAGGGAAAUGAACUAAAAAAUAAUUUAAACCUAUUAUAUUGGUACUAAUUCAAUUCUAAAUCUUUAAAUUAGAUUAAUUUAAUCAUGGAUUUUUUAUAUUUGUGCCAAUUAAGUCCAAUCUGUUGAUUUGAAAGUUGGCUGUUUUAUAAGACACGGCUAGCGUUGAUAUGGACAAAUUUUAAUUCUUUUUAAAUAUUAUUUUUUUCCCUUUUCAUUUUGGCUAGUGAGGAUAUGCAUUCCCCUAUGAUGAUCUUAUUGGAAAAGUGAAAUCAAGAAAUUUAACCGAAGCUAAUUCAACCCUCACCGUUGGACUAGUUUCUAAAGAGCAUAAACUAAUCUCUAAUUAGAGUCAUCUCUUAGUAUGUUAACAAACAGGUACAGGGUCAAUGGGUGAGCAUUAGAAGCUAUCAUUCUCAUUUGCCAGAAAGUAUCAACAUAUCAGAAAAAGGAGUCAAUCACUAACCAAUGAUGGGGUUGAUGAAAUUUCCACAGAAAAAAGAAGCAUGAAUGCUAUAACCGUUUCUCUGGAAAAUAAGUUUGAACACACAAGAGUGCAGGAACGAGAGCUGUAUUUUACGGAAACGGAGAGUUCCGGUUCACCACAGAGUGCAACAUUAUAGUCGAUUCAAUCUAUCUCUACUAUUAAAUACAGAGUUGAGGGUAUCAAUUUCUGCCUAGGAGCGUUCUUACUGCUAAUCACUAGACAAUAAUGUACGAAUUUGUCAUAUGGGAGUCUCUUAAAGAUACCGCUGUCUCUGUUCGCAAAGAAAUUUAAAAACAAAUCCCAUCAAACGAAUGAAAUCAACAGAUCCACUCAAACUAGUAUAGCUUUUAGCACCGGCCUAGUUCCUAAAGAGCGUAAAUCUAAUUCCUAAUUACGGAAAUCUCUGAGAUCUAUCAACAAGCUGAUGCACAGAAGUGGCAUUGUGUUUCAAGAUCUGAGGCCUGACAGUUGCACAGAUGGAAGCAGAUGAGCAGGGUUUAGCAUGUAACUAGAGCGAGAGGCUUAAGGCUUCUAGUGUUGGACGCAACUCGCAGUGAUCAAUCAUCGAGUCAAAUGAGGAGAGAGUCGAUGCUGAUCUGAGAGUCCCUCUACUGUUCCCAUCAGAUUCUGCCCCUAGUUACAUUACUGAACAUACCCAAUUCAUUGAAAAAAGCAAUAGAUGAGAGGAAAUUAGCAGAGAUGGAGGGGGUUGAAGAUGAAGAGUCACGAUCGAAAUGCUGAGAAGGUGACUUGAUACUCACCCUUUCGCGCCGACCGCAAAGUACAGAAAAUGAGGGAAUCCGCCUUUCUUUUGAGGCAUUCGAGGUUUUUUUUUUUUUUUUUUUGCUCGGUCCUACUUUAAUCAUAUUCUAACACUCACUCUCAGACUUGGGUUACUUCGAAAAAACUCCCGAGUCCAAAGAGUUUUUGGCUCUAAAGUCUUAUUUGUUUAGAAAUCAUAAUGACGAUGAAACCCCUCUUUUUUUUUUCCUUUUUUUUUUUGGUGAAAUCGUGGAUCCAUUUAAAUUAUUCAUGAAUGAAACCUACACAUUUUAAGUAUUUCAGAUGGAUUAUAACAUGAAGUUAUUCGCAGUAAAUUUACAAAACAAAAGUUUUUUAAAUAAUAAAAGUUGCAUUCAGUUAUUAAAAUCUGAUUUGUUUCGCAAAAAAAUGAAUGAUUGAAAACAUAUUUUUCAAAAAAUAAUUAUUUAUAUCACUUGAAAUCCUUAGUUAAUGAAAUAUGUUUUUAUUAUCAAUAACAAUUUAUGCAUAAAUAUUUUUGUGAAAUAUUUUUUAUUCAUUUAUUUUUGUAAAGGAUACAAGCGAUUAUUUUUCAGAAAAUAUUUUUCAAAUUAUUCAUUGUUCCUUAAAGAUCCAAAAAAUUUAUCAUGCAAAUGAAAGUUUAUCAAUCAUGGAUGGUUUGAGCAGAACUUCUGCCAUUUCUACUUUCCUUUCGCAAAUCUUGGGCAAUGUCCACAUUACCACUAGAAGGAAUCUUUAAAAAAAAAUUUGACCAAGGGAUUUUUUCUUUAAAGUAGUUAUCAUAUUUUUUAGAUUUGAAUAGUCGAAUCAAUAGAAAUUAGGAUUGGUUAUAUAUAUAAUCAUGAAAAUAUUAAUAAUGACGAAUUACAAAAUAUUAGUCAACUUAACUUAUUUUUUUAUUAUCUAUGAUUAAAGUAAAAUAAGAACAAUAAAUCGAUGUAUUGAUGCUAUUUAGUCAAUUAAAAAAAAUAAACCAUUAUAAUUUUCUUAAUUUUGAAACAAUGGCCAGUAAAUUAAUUUAAAUUUCUAAUUUCGAGAUAUAAUGCUGUAGAAUAUCUAUAUUAUGAAGAAUAUGCAAUCAUAUUGUAAAUAAUAUGUUAAAAGCUGGUAUCUUUUUUUCAUUACAUUCUCAAAGUUUGUUUUUCAUACAAUCAAUAAAUGAGUCACUGUUUUGCUCCACUACCUAUAUCUAUGUUAUAGCUCUCCUGGGAAUUCAUCAAUUGACAGUAAUGUGAGCCCUCGCUCUAUUUGAUUUCAUUAAUGCUUCGAUUCAUUUACACAUUAUAUAUAUAUAUAUAUAUAUAUAUAUAUAUAUAUAUAUAUAUAUAUAUAUAUAUUAGCAUACAAAACACAUUGCAAAUUUGCAAGGGAGAGAUAUGCACAAUAUUUUGUAUGCAUCGAAAUUUAAUUAAUCCUCGUCCAACUAUAUUUGUGUUGAUGUGAGCAUUUGUAAUUGAUAUAGUAAUCGUUAGUACACUGUUUUUCUUUUACAGAGAGCCAAGCUAAUUAAUAAAAUUAUAUUAAAUUAAACUAUAUCGAUUUGGAUUCGCUUUUACUUUCUUUUUCUUUUUAAAUUUUUGCUUCUGUAAUUUACACUGCCCACGGACUUUAAGUCUUUUUCGAAGUCCCGAAACUUUCACAAUAGUUGGAUGUUAACACGUACAUUUGUAUUUAUUCAUUUCAUAAUUUUUUGAAAUCCAAAUUAUAUUUCAACUUUUGAUAGGAAAAUAAAUUUUUUUUUUUUUAAGUCCAAACAAAGUGGCGUUAAAGCUGUUAAUUUUCGCCAUUUCUUUACGAUUUCACUUCGCGUGCUGGAUGUUUAGGUGAUACGAUGCUGAAAGCACCGUUUCCAUGGGGGAGACAACUGGUGCACUGCCAUGUUCUUUAAUGAUAUCGUCCCGAGUCCCAAUUAUCGAUCGUUAUGUCUCUCUCAUCGCCAGAAAGCGCUUGACUUGUUCGAUGAAAUGCCGCAGAGGGCUCUUGUCUCUUAGAAUUCAUUGAUUUCUGGGUCGUCCCAUCAUGGGUUUUAUGAAGUCUCUGAGUAUCUUCAUGCAGAUGCAAAGAAAUUAUGAUCGUCUGUUCAUGGAUGAAUUUACUUUUGUGGGUGUUGUGGCUGCCUGUGCUCACUUGGGUGCAUUGAAGUUCUUGCUUCAAGUUAAUGGAGUUGCCAUCAUAAUGGGCUUGGAAUUUACUAAGAUUACUUAUAAUUCUCUGAUUGAUGCUUAUGGGAAAUGUGGUGGAGCCGAUAAAUGCCGUGACUUGUUCGAAGUUAUGCCUGAGAAGGAUAUUGUGUUGUGGACUUCCAUGGUUGUUGCUUAUUCGCUAGCUCAUAACUUGGAUGAUGCUUGUGCAAUAUUCAACAAUAUGCCAGCGAAGAAUACGGUCUCUUGGACUGCAAUGAUUGCAUGCUUUGCACAAAAUGGCCGUGGUGAUGAAACUUUGGACCUUUUCGUUCGAAUGCGUGAGGAAGGAAUACAGCCAAGUCCUCGUACUUUUGUCAGUGUUCUAUGUGCUUGUGCUGAUUGAGCACUUGCUGAAAGAGGCAAGCAGAGUCAUGGUUGCAUAGUCAGGACCUGCUUUGAUAGAGAUUUGGAUAACAUAUCUGUAUGGAACGCUCUAAUUGACAUGUAUUGCAAGCGUGGCUACAUGAGAGCAGCUGACAUCUUAUUCUUGAGGAACCCAGAAAGGGCUAUUGUAUCAUGGAACUCAAUGAUAAGUGGAUUUUCACAAAAUGGUUUAGGGCAUGAGUGACUUGUUUUUGUCAAGAAGAUGCUGGAGGCAAAUGCAAGAUUCUACCAUGUCACAUUUCUUGGCACUCUAUCUGCUUGCAGCCACGCAGGUCUAGAUGUUGAAGCACUUCAGAUUUUCAAUGCAAUGGAAAAGGACUACACAGCCUUCAAAAGAGAUCCGACCACUAUGCUAUUUUGGUCGAUCUGCUCAGGAGGAAAUACAGACUUGAGGAAGCCAUGGAAUUGAUAGAUAGUCUCAAACAAAUCAGAGCAUGUUGUGCUUUUCGGUUAAUGCAAAGCCCUCGGUAAUCUUGUUAUUGCCUGAAGCUGUGGAUAUCUAUUGAAGUUGAACCCCAAAAUGCUGCGAAGUAUGUGUCACGUUAUCAAGCAUCUAUGCUGCCAUUAACAGAUGGGAUGAUUCCUGCACAGUAAGGAAGCAAAUGGAGGAGAGAAACUUGAUGAAAGAUGUGGCAAACAGUUGGAUUGAAGUAAAGUAUGAAAUGCACAAAUUUCCAGCAAAGGACCGAUUCCACUAUCAGAUAGGAGACAUACACGAAGUGCUCGGGAAACUACCUUAUCAUAUGAAGGAAGCUGGAUAUGUUCAUGAGCCCCACAUAAGGCUCAUAUAUUUUAAUUUGAAUCUAUCUAAUUUAACCUCAAAUGAUGUCUAUAAUUUUUUUUUUUUUAUUGCUAUACUAUAAUCAAUACUCUCAGCCCAUAAAUCUAUCCUAUUUUUGCUGAGUCCUCUGAUCUAGUUUUUAAACAGAUACACAGAAACACUGAUCUAAAUGUCCCUUAACUCGGAACCUGACCAAUCUAUGAUUUUUUUUCCUUUUUGUGGGGUUAAGUCUAAACUCAGGAAGCGAGAGCACUAAGUCUAAACUAAGAGCUCAAGUUCACGUUGGAUAAUUUAAUCCAUGGGGUAUGUAUGAAUAAUCAAUAAAAUAGAUUCAAUGAGAUGACAUUCGGCUUAAUACUUAAAUGCACAAAAAUGAACAUACUAUAUGCGCAUAUACCACCACAUAGUAGCUCAUCCAUAUAUUCAGAUGAGUAUAUUCGUUAUUCGUCACUGCUUGUGACUCAUCUUGACUAAUGGGGCACCGCCACCACCAAUUCAUGCUCAUUGCACAACCGUCUAUGGCAUACUCAUUCUCCUCAAUAUUCAUUCUCACUUUAUUAUCUUUAUUUUCUCAAUCUUGAACCUCAAGUUUAUAAUAUCACAUAGCAAACUACUCAAGUCAUAUCAAGCUGCACAAAUAAUAUCAUUUUAUAUAUGAAUCAGGGGAAUCAGGAAAACAAACUAUAGUGUUGGCAUAUUAUUGACAAUACUUGUAGAAAUUCAAAAGAGUUUGUAAUUUGCUUAAUUAUUAGAAAGUUGGUAAAAUUCUUGAUAAUGUUGGCAAUUUCUUUUAAUUUAUCAGUAAAAUUUCAGAGGAGUGGAUAUUUUACGACUUCAUUCGAAUGUUGACAAAUUCCUCAUAGUGUCAGUAAUUUACUUACAAUAUCAAUAAAGUUCAGAAAAAUUGGUAAUUUAUUAAUUCAUUGGAAUGUUGGUAGAUUUCCAGUGGUGUUGGUAAUUUAUUAAUGAUCAGGUUUCAAGUCAUAACAUUUUACCAGCAAGAUUGGAAAAUUACUAGUAAGAUUGGAAUUCUACCAAGACAGAAAGUUUUCAAUUUUCCACAGCAUGGGACCGUAAAAUUUUGCAUAGCUUCAUAAGUCUCUACCUCUGCAACAAGAACUUAAAUCCCAACUGAUAAUUUCAAUUGUUGAAACAAGAAACGCAGUAAUGAAUCAUUCAGAAGCCCCUGUAGAAAUCUGUUCAAAAUUAUCAAAACUAAAGGACCUUUGUGACCAUUGCACAUGAUCAUUAACUAGGGAGGGUUAUGUUCAUGCUAGACACGAUGUUUUGCCCAUACUUCUUCAUUUCUUCAAUGUAGAAAUUUUCAGGGGAAAUCAGCAACAAUUCUGCAAAUACAGUCGCUGAUGUCUAAUUAAAUUCGCAACACUGAAUGCAAAACAUUGCACAUUAAUCUCCGUGAACGAAUUUUGGAGCAAGUCAUCUUGAAUCCUUGAUGAAUUUCUCCCGUGACGAGAUUAAUUACUAACUGCACCGCUAAACAUUUUAGAAGUAGGACCACAACAGACCAAGAGAAAAAGAAAGAAAUUGCAGAACCAAUCUACUAUAGUAAGGUUUCAUGCCUUCCAGGACAAUAUUUCGGUUUUAGCUAGACCUUGACAAGCUCAGAAGAACAACCGAUUCCCCAUGUAUGUUUUGAACUAGUUCCUAAUCCCCUAAUUGGUGCAGAAGUGAACUGACGCACAGGAGUUGCAAUGUGUUUCAAUAGAAUGUGACUUGGUUAAGGCUAAAGCUAUUAAAGAUUAGAUGCAGAUGGAACAAAAUCAAUCGAGUGAGCUGUCGAGGGAGUUCAUCGAAAGGCUGUUUUCAUUGCGUAUGUAUGAUAAGUCAUGACUGAAAAUAAUAAAAACCAACUCAAUCCGUUCCAAAUAUUUUCCCAAUCUAUCACUGAUUGCAUCGAAGAUUCGCACGCAGACCCAAUUCAUGCAAAUGCGAAGAGAAAAUUACCAGAAGAAAAGAAUAUAGGCGAAGAUGAAGGAAACCAAAUGAAGAUGCAGAGAAGGAAGAACCCUCGUUGGCCUCAGUUAGCUGCAACCAAAACGGAAAAGGAAGAUCACAAUCCAUUAACCCCUCGGUGGGAACAGAUCGGGGUGGCAGUCCCCGGAGGGAGAUCUCCGCCUGGUUGAAUCGCAUCUCGUUCUUCCGCUCGGGGUCGCUGCCGCUGCUGGUUCUGGGCGAGCUUCUCACUCACGUCGUCGCUGGUGAGGGAGGAAGACGAAGGAGAAGGAAAGAACGUGAGAAGACACAGAGAGAGCAACGGGAGAAAAAACGAAACAAAUAUAAAAAAACACAGAGACAGAGAAAAAGUUUAAAUUUCUUAAGAGUGGGUCCCACCUUUAUGCGUCAUCUCGAGAUGAUAUUCCUCACCAAUCUCCUACGGAAUCUUCUCUCCCUGAUUUCAGUACCCUCCCCCUACUUCUUUGGAAGGGUCUUCGCACUUUUUUCAAAUCUCGGUACUCAUCGGAUUCCAUAAUCUCCUCCAAUCUCUCAGAGUCUUUUAUUUCCAAAUCCUCUAGCUUCUUGAAGCUUGAAGGAUCAGAAAACUUUUGCAGAGACCCGCAGCCAUCAAUAAGAAGAAACAUCACUGAUUUCAGCCUACCUCGAACCAGACGAGGACAAUGCAUUAAUUCAAUAUGCUUAAGCUCCUUGGCGUUGGUCAGGUCAGGCAACUUCUCUAGUAACGGAAGAUCGUCCACACAUAAGACCCUCAAGUUCUCUGAAACUUCCAAGCCUUGAAUCUCUCCUAGCUUCCAACAGCCAUCUAUAUCCAAUUCUUCUAUAUGCUUAAAGCUCGAUGGAUCAGGCAGAUGUUCAAGUGAUUCACAGCAAGUUAAAUGGAGAGACUCCAAUGAUUCAAGCUUACCUCAAACCUCAACCAAUUUAGGACAAACUUCUAUCCAAAAUCUCCAAAGCUUCUUUAAGCUGGUCAGGUCGGGCAACUUCACCAGCGAUGGAAGAAACACAAGAUCAAGCCUUUGCAAGUUUUUCAAAGGUUCGAGGCCUUGAAUCUCUAUUAGCUGUUCACAAUACCAGAUUUCCAAUUCUGAUAACUUCUCCAAAUAUGAAAGAUUUAUUGACUUUUCUGUUAACCCGUGCCCAACAAAAUGGAAGUAUGACAAAUUCUGAGGAAGCUUAGGUAGGCAUUCUAGGUUAUUUUUGAAGAGUUCAAGCUUCCUGAGCUUCAAAAGGAGAUUAAAAUCUGAAGGUAGGGUGACCAGACUAUGACAACACAAUGACAAUGACUCUAGCUUUCUUAACCCUCCGAUCCAAUUGAGGCUUGGAGCUGGAUGGGAAGGCCUUUGAUACUCCAAUCCCAACGUCAAAACCCUCAAAUUUAAUAGGUUCGAGAGAUCUGGGAAUCUUAUUAGUUCAUUACUGGUCAGGUAUAGUUUGGUCAUACUUUCAGGAAGCUUAGGUAUAUUGGAAAUUCUCGUGCCCGAUAACCUGAAGAUUCUUAGAAAUGAUAGUUCUCCAAUCUCACUUGGAAUUUCCCCACACAAACGUCUACAACAGGUAAAAUUGAUCUCUUCAAGCUUCUCUAACAUCCCAAGGGCGCUAGGUAGCUUUUCUAAGUCGGACAUAAACAUCCUUAGUACUCUCAAAUUCUUCAUUGUCUCUAUUGAAUUAGAUAACUCUCAUAUUUUCGACCCAUAAAGAUUCAACUCAACGAGAGAUCCAAAAUUUCCAAAUGGAAGUUCACUAAUUCCGGUAUCCGACAAGUCAAGAUAUGAUAGUGAUGUUGAGCAACCAGCUAAAUUGCAUUCGCUCAGUAAUCUACAAUGUUUUGCACUAAGAGUUUCCAAUUUCUCCAUUCCUUUCCAUUCAGGAAUGUUGGUAAUAGAUGUGCCAUCAACAAGGAGUUCUGUCAAGGCUUCUAGUUCCUCUAUCUCGUCUGGCAAUGUCUGAAAUUUACUAUAAUAAUUCAAGUUUAAUAACACUAAAUGCUUUAACUUACCAAUAGACCUCUCAACUUGAACUAGUUCCACGCACCCUUCAAGAAUCAAUUGCUCUAACUUUUGAUGAGCAGAAAAUUUAGGAGUUCUAAGCAACUUUUUGCAAUCAAUCAAAUUUAGAACCUUCAAAUUCUUUGUCGUCUGUGAUGAAGAGAAGAGGUUGAUUUUGAAUCAUUUUGAGAUAUAGGACAGCAAAAUCAAUAGAGCAAAUUCAUGUUGAAAUAAUAUCAUACCUCGAGGUGGUUCCAUCCCUCCCACUCAUCAGUAAUUCCACUCCUUGAUACAUCAAGAAUCACUAGCUUCUUAAGAGAACAUGCGGUGAACUUGUGAAAGACAGGGAAGUUAUGCCAUGAGAGCCAUCUCAAAUUCGGAAGCAUGAUGCACAAGUUGGUAGAAGGAAAAUGCUGAACGUUGUUCUCAUCCAAGUCUACACAAUCCACUUGAAUAAAUCUUAAAUUAAUAGGCUUAAAGAUUCUUCCUUCUCAAUGAAGUCUUGAAAUUGAUGAUCAUAUUUGAGACGUAUUGUUUCAACAUUUUCUCUUCCCUGCCAAAGCAAAAAAAAUAAAACAAAAGCUAGCGAUCACAUAAUUGCCUAUUAAAGGCAUUCGAGUUGAGCACACUUGAGGAAUGCACAUCUUAUUUAUAAUUUAAAAAAAAUACAAUAUAAUUUACAGAUCAGCAUGUGAUCAUACUAAGCACACAAGUAAUGAAUAGGUUUAGAUAAAAGCAAAUAAGUAAAGUCAACAUGUAUAACUCGUCUCUUUGAAUAGGAAUAAUAUUGCAAAAACUUUACCUUCUUUAUUCCAAGAACAUUAAUUGCUUGCUCAUGAUCCCACACCCGACUUUGCUCCUCUGGUUUAUAAUCACCAUUCUUACAAACGAAAUCUCGUCCAAUGUCUCUUACAAUAUCAUGCAUCCAUAGUCGGUUAUGUUCUAUAAUCUUUAUUAAUGACAUCUUUUGGAGGACACAAAGAUAAAAGUCAGGUUGAAACCUACAGCUUUCCCACAUGUGACUCACAAUUCUCACAUCAAACCCAAUGAAGAAGCAACAAACAUCGAGAAAUAUUUUCCGCGCUAGUGGGUGUAAUGCCUCGAUACUAAUGUUCAAUUUUUUUUCAACUUGUUCAUCGGGAAUAGUUUCCAGCUUCUUUAAUGUGGUCUUCCAAGAUUUUUUGUCUUCCUCAGCUAAAAAAGAACCUAUGAUCUCAAGAACUAAAGGAAGACCACCGCAAAUUUUUACUGCUAUUUUCAAGAGGUUGAUGUAUUUAGCCGAAGGAUGAUCACUUUUAAAGGCAUGUAACAGUAUAAGGGAAUGAUCAAAAUUCAUUUCAAUAAAUUUGUGCUUCAUAUCAACAUGUUUGAGAACUUCCUCAUUUCUUGUGGUGAUAAUAACCUUACUUCCUCUGCAAAACCAGCGUUUAUCCAUCCCCACAAGAGCAUCCAGCUCAGUCUUUUGGUCGACAUCAUCAAUUACAAGUAAGACCAUUUUAGAGGAUAAACUCCUCUUGACCUCAGUUAUCCCUUCUGCAAUGUCAUGGAUUGGCAGACAUUUCCCUUUUCGGAGAGUAGAGAUGAGUUGAUCCUGUGAAUUCAAAAUUCCUUUAUGUCGAACGCCGAACAGGAAGCAACAGUUAUCAAAAUUAGCCGACAAUUUAGUAUAGACGAUUCUAGCAAGAGUUGUCUUUCCGACACCGCCCAUUCCAUGGAUACCAAUAAUCUUUGUUUCAGAGGUGUCUUCGCCUAUCAUUUCCAUGAUCUUGUCCACUUGAUCAUCCAUUUCAACCAAGCAAUCAGGUGCUCCCAAAUAGCUCUUUUUCAACUCAAACAAAACCUUAGAAACGACUUUGUUCUUGAACUCGCCUUUGCCUCUGAUAGUUUUGAAGCCAAAGAGCCAACUGUUAAAUUGAGAUGAACAGAACAAUAUUGAAGGUACGAACCAAUUGUGCACAAUAAUAAAUUCAAGCACAUCUUAUUAAGUCCGCAUCCCUUUAAUUUUCCAACCUUGUUGAGAGCUACCUUCCAGCUCUGAAUAGUCUUAUCAGUGUGCUUAUUCAUGUGUGACUGGAUGGUGUCACCGUAGGUUGCAGUCUGCUUACGAACCAUCCGUGGUUCAACGUCAUAGAAAAUUGGUAUGAUCUUUUGUCCCCACUUUUCCUUGCACUCCACCAUCUAAGUCAAUUCCACGAGGCACCAUUUACUAGCAGCAUAUUCUUUACAAAAGAUAGGAAUCGAGAUUUUCGACUGCACCAUUCAAAUUUUACAUAUAUUAAACCAAAAAAUAUAGAAUUCAUAUAUUUUAAUUAUGUCAAAAUUAUACACAAUAAGUUCGUAAAAAAAAGAAAAUUAGAAAAAAUAACAUUAUUAAUGUCAUAACUUUCAUACAAUACUCACCUAAUGCUAUAACUUUUUUGGGAUUGGUUAGGUAAUAUAAUUUUCAUCUGACAUUCACUGAAAUGCCAUAAUCUUUUAUUUUUUGCACUUGUUCAAAUUGUUUACCCAAGAAUGAAUGUUCCCACAAGGACCGCUGGUCUACCGCUGUCCUUGGUUCUCCACUAUUUGACGCUUCCUCUUUUCUCCAAAUUUUAAAAUUUUUCUUUUUAAUUUUUUCUUAAAAAUUGAUGACAUGGCAGCUAUAUCAAUGCCUCCAUCUUCAAGGGAAAAAAAAAUCACGUUCGUUUUUUCUAUUAGCUGAAUUGGAUGAAAUUAAUAACAAGACUUGAUUGCACGAAUUUAAUGAAUUUUAAAAUUUGAUCGUACUUUUUGCAAGGGAUAAUAACACAAAUGGUUUUUAAACUUUGACUUAAUAUGUAAUGUCAUAUUUAGAUUUGUAAUUUAUUCAAUAUGAUCUCUAAAAUAUUGAUAGAUGUUCAAUUUAGUCUUUAGAUUAAAUGUGCUAUUUUCAUAUAGUUUAACGACUAGAUUAGAUAUUUAUUAAUAGUUCAUAAAUCACAUCAAAUAAAUUAAAAUUUUUAAAAAUGACAUGACAUAUUUUGCCAGAGUUUAAAGAUCACAUUAAACAAAUUUCAAAUUCAAAGACCGGCUGCUUUUGCAUAAUCUUUUAUUUUUUGCACUUGUUCAAAUUGUUUACCCAAGAAUGAAUGUUCCCACAAGGACCGCUGGUCUACCGCUAUCCUUGGUUCUCCACUAUUUGACGCUUCCUCUUUUCUCCAAAUUUUAAAAUUUUUCUUUUUAGUUUUUUCUUAAAAUUUGAUGACAUGGCAGCUAUAUCAAUGCCUCCAUCUUCAAGGGAAAAAAAAAAUCACGUUCGUUUUUUCUAUUAGCUGAAUUGGAUGAAAUUAAUAACAAGACUUGAUUGCACGAAUUUAAUGAAUUUUAAAAUUUGAUCGUACUUUUUGCAAGGGAUAAUAACACAAAUGGUUUUUAAACUUUGACUUAAUAUGUAAUGUCAUAUUUAGAUUUGUAAUUUAUUCAAUAUGAUCUCUAAAAUAUUGAUAGAUGUUCAAUUUAGUCUUUAGAUUAAAUGUGCUAUUUUCAUAUAGUUUAACGACUAGAUUAGAUAUUUAUUAAUAGUUCAUAAAUCACAUCAAAUAAAUUAAAAUUUUUAAAAAUGACAUGACAUAUUUUGCCAGAGUUUAAAGAUCACAUUAAACAAAUUUCAAAUUCAAAGACCGGCUGCUUUUGCAUACCCGCUCACCAUGGAAGUGGCUGACACUAUAUUUCUGGUAGGCAUUCUAUCAAAAACUGCUCUGGCCUCACUAAUUCUGGAGCACUUAGAGUACAUAUCAACCAAUGCAUUUCCUAAAACAACAUCUUUCCCAAAUUUGUCACAUUUUACAACACGGGCAUGAAUUUGCAUCCCUUCCUUAAGUGCUGACGAGCUAGCUCAGGUGCUGACCACACUGGCUAAAAUAACCUCAUCUAUUUCGAACCCACAAUCCAUCAUGCUCACAAAAACCUCAAGAGCCUCGCUGGCGGGACCAUUUUGUUCAUAACACGUAAUCAAGCUGUUCCAAGAAACUAUGUUUCGAGAACUCAUUUCAUCAAAAGCCCUCUGUGCACAAGCCACGUUCCCACACAGCCGAGCACUCAGACUUCGAUAUCAAAGCCUGAAUCCGUUGGGCCAGAUGCAUAUCUGCUAACCCGGCACAUGCGCUAAGCACACUACCAAAUGAGUACUCAUUAAGCACAUAAUUCUCCCUAUGCAUCUUACCAAAACAUUGCAGGGCUUCUUCGAACCUUUCAUGCUGCGCAUAACCUGAGAGCAUCGAAUUCCCGAGCACUGGUCGGGUUCCGGCAUUGACCCGAAUAUCUUUUCCACUUCAUCAAGAGACCCCGAUCUGAUCAACCCGCCUAAGAUCGCGUUCCACGUGAAGGUAUUCUUCUCGGGCAUUCUAUCGAACACCCUGCGGGCAUCGUCGAGGCACCCGCAUCUCGCGUAGACGUCGAUGAGCCGGUUCUGGAUAAAAACCUCGGCGGAGAACGGGGUCUUGAUGAUCCGAGCGUGGACGCGGCGUGUGUUGCGCGCUGACUUGGACAGGCCGCAGCCGUCCAGGAGCUUGGUGAACGGGGUCGAGGUGGCGAAGGAGAGGUCGCCCGCCAGAGCCUUGACCCGCGCAUGCCUCGCCAUUCCAUCAUAUCAUCGUACGAGGCGAAAUCUGUCGGAGUAGAUUUGCAAAUUGAAUGCGACUGGGGGGUUUCUGUUGACCGUUAUAUGCUUCCCCCCUUCAGCCAGGCGCGGGAAUAUGAUACGAGCGCUCGUAUGAAGUGGGGCAAAGUUGCGGUGGCAGAAUGGUAAUUUAGCAUAACAAUCUAAUCUAAGCUAUAAAUUGAAAUAUGACAUAUAUUUAAUAUCUUGUUGUAAGUCACUAAAUUAUGAUUAGUCAUACUUAAAAUCUAUACUUAUUGCUUUAUCAAUUAUAAUUAUAAGUUUAAGAUAAGUCAAUUUAAUUUUAUUAAGAGACUGCCGGAUUAUUCACAAAUAAAACAUACAUUCUUGUUUAGUAAUUAUGAUCAUUCUAAUUGUAACUCAUUCUCGCCAAAAAAAAAAAAUUUGUAACUCAUCAUUAUAAAAAUGCAAAAACCAAUACUAGAGACUGAAAAUUAGAUCUAUGCCGGAUUUGAUGGGAUAGCUUUUCAUUGGCCCCCUCCCUCGAGGAAUAGCUAACCUUGAUUUAUGAAAAUAGCUAUUUCUUUUAUGCAACUAAUCUUGAUUUACUUCUUGACCAACUAACGACUAAUUGUCUCCUCAUGAAAAGAUUGAAAAAUGAUGUAGCUAUUGUGAUAUUUCUAUGUUAACUCUCUUUUGAGGUAAUGUCCGUUUUAUCUCGUCCCAUUUCAAAUCUCAUAGUUUUGUAUUUUGGCAUAUAAGCAGACUUUUUCCCAUUUUAGUAGUGUUCUAACUUGACUAUGCUUAACUUUGGGUAAAACUACCAAGAUAGGUGACUGUACUUUCAAGAGGCCACCCAUCUUGAUCUAACUUGACCACACUUAACUUUGGAGUGGAACUAUCUAUUGAUCUCAUGGGGAAGUGCUUGCUUGCACGCCAGAUGAUAAAAUUGUGAGGCUUGAAAUGGGAUGGGUGCCAACAAAUAAUAUCACGAGUGAAUUAAUCCAGAAACAUCACAGUUAUUUGUCCUCGAACAAAACAUGCAGUUGGAUUUUCGAUUAAGACGUAUCUUCUUCUAGUAAGGUCUGUCCCUUUUGUUUUGUUUUGUUUAGUGUUUUUUGCUUCUUCUUUUUUUUUGUUAAAUAUAUAAUUUAGACAUUGUCCUGUUAUGGUAAGAAAAAUCAAUUGACCUUCUAAAAUGUGCACUCCUGUGAACCUUUGCAAAAGAAGCCCAUCCGAACGCACAUCCACUCCGUCAAGGCUUUGCAACUCUUUCGGCUUUAUGGGACCAAGAACCGUCACAUCUGAGAGUUGUCUCAAGCUUUGGAAAGGUCUAUUGAUGUUCUUAUUUCCUGGCAAAGUAGGAUAUGUAAAAUGGACAAAACUCCCAGGAAGCCUUGGCAAGAACCUGAGGUUCUUAAAAAUUGAGAACAAGUUUCCUGAGCUUGCAACUCUAAGGACUCCAGACGGCAUAACCUUUCAGUCCACCGAGGAUCAUGGAGCUUCCUUAAGUCCGUGACCGUCGUAAUAAUACCUCGACACAUAUAAACGCAAGCAUCUCGGAUUUAAUAGGCACAGGAGAUCUGGAAAUGUGUACAUUGAGAAAAUUACAAGCACAGGUUAAUUCCAAGCCCAUGGCACCAUAGAAUUUUUCCCAUGACAAGAUUAAUUACUAAUUGCACCCGCUAAAAAUUUUAGAAGUAGGGCCACAACAGACCCAAAAAAGAAGAAAGAAAGUGCAGAACCGAUCGAUUACAGUAAGCUUUCACGCCUUCCAGGACAAUAGUUCGGUUUUAGCUCGACCUUGACAAGCUCAGAAGAACAACUGAUUCCCCAUGUAUGUUUUGAACUAGUUCCUAAGGAGCGAAAAUCAAUCCCCUGAUUGGUGCAGAAGUGAACUGACGCACAGGAGUUGCGAUGUGUUUCAAUGCAUGUGACCUUGUUAAGGCAAGCUAUUAAAGAUUAGAUGCAGAUGGAACAAAAUCAAUCGAGUCAGCUGCCGAGUGAGUUCAUUGGAAGGCUGUUUUUAUUGUGUAUGAAUGGUAAGUCAUGACUGAAAAUAAUGAAAACAACUCAAUCCGUUCCGAAUCUUUUCCUAAUCGAUCACUGAUUGCAUCAAAGAUUCGCAAGCGGACCCAAUUCAUGCCAAUGUGAAGAGAGAAAAUUACCAGAAAACCAAAUAAAGAUGGGGAGAAGGAAAAAGCAAGACUUUUUUCUAGAGAACAUAUUCAACUCUCGUGGAACAAAUCAGCGGGCAGGAAGACAGGGGUCGCAGUCCCUGGAGGGAUAUCUCCGCCAGGUUGGAUCGCGUCUUGUGAUGCCACUCGGGGUUGCCGUUGCAUUCCUUGAUGGCCAGUGUCUGUUGCUGCUGGUUCUGGUCGAGCUUCUCUCUUGGGACAUCACUGAUGAGGAAGGAAGAUGAAGGGAGGAGAAGGUGAGAAGGUGUUGUUUUGGGGGGGUAGGAGCAACGGGAGAAAAAAGAAAGAGAGCUUCAAAAAAGGGGGGAGAGAGAGAGAGACCUUGACGGCUUCAAGGUAAAAGAGAGGAAUCCCUAACCCUUUUAAUUCUACUGUCUCCAUAUAACUGCAUGUCGAAUAGAUGAAAUUUCCAUCCGCGGAUCUAUCCUUGGAGGCAACUCCAGUGAUUCCUCGAGCACCUUGGUCAGGUGCAACUCCAGUGAUUCCUUAAGCACCUUGAUCAGGUUAGAAAACUUCUUUGGAGGCAACUCCAGUGAUUCCUUGAGCACCUUGGUCAGGUUAGACAACUUCGCUGGCAACAGUUCUAACAACUUUUGCGAAGAUUUGCAGCAAUCAAUAUGAAGCUUCUCCAAUGAUUUUGGCCUAUGUUGAACCUCAACCAGAUGAGGUAGCUUCGCACAGCCUUCUACGGUGACAUGUUUGAUAUUCUUGACGUUUGAUGGAAACUUUUCGAGUGAUUCACAGGACAUUAAAUAAAGCUUCUCCAACGAUUCUUGCUGAUCUCCUACCUCAAUCAGUUUAGGACAUAGUGAUAUAGUAAGUACCCCCAGCUUCUUCAAGUGGGUCAGGUCGGGCAACUUCACCAGUGAAGGAAGAUGGCAAAGAUAAAGCCAUUUCAUGUUUUCCAAAUUUUCAAGGCCUUGAAUCUCUGUUAGCUGUUCACAAUUACGUACUUCCAAUUCUGAUAACUUCUUCAAAUAUGAAAGAUCUCCAGACUUUUCCAUUGACUUGCACCCACAAAUACUUAAGUAUGACAAAUGCUGGGGAAACCUAUGUAGGCAUUCUAGUUUAUUUCCAACAAGUUCAAGCUUCUCGAGCUUCGAAAAGAGAUUAAGAUCUAAAGGUAUGGAGACCAGACUAUGCCAACUCAACAGCAAGGAAGUUAGCUUUCUUAAACCUCCGAUCCAGUUGAGGCUUGGAGUUGGAUGGAACGAGAAUUCAGACUUUAAAUCCAACUUCAAAACUCUCAAAUUUAAUAGGUUAGAGAGAUCUGGGUAUUCCUUAAAUGGACCAAUUGUAAGGUGUAGAUUGGUCAUACUUUCAGGAAGCUUAGGUACAUCAGAAAUUCUUGUGUUCAGUAACAUCAAGAUCCUCAGAAAUGAUAAUCUUCCGAUCUCCCUAGGAAUUUCCCCAAGGAAAUUUCUACAGUCACGAGCAUAGAUCUCUUCAAGCUUCUCCAACAUCCCAAGGGCACUAGGUAGCCUUUUUAAGGGGGUGUGUGACACCCUUAGUACUCUCAAAUACUUCAUUUUCUCUAUUGAACUGGGUAACUCUUGAAUUUUCGACUGAGAAAGAUUCAACUCAACAAGAGAUGCAAAAUUUCCAAACGGAAGCACAGUAAUAUUUGUACCUCCCAACCUUAGAUUCAAUAUUGAUGUUAAGCAACCAGAAAAAUUGCACAUGCUCAGUGAUUCACAUGAACUUGCACUGAGAGUUUCCAAUUUCUUCAUUCCUUUCCAUUCAGGAAUUUCGGUAAUGGAUGUCCCAUCAAUAAUAAGUUCCCUUAAGGCUUCCAGUUCCUCCAUCUUGUCCGGCAAUGUCUGAAGUUUCCUACAACCUCCCAAGUUUAAUGAUACUAAAUGAUUUAACUUAUUAAUAGAGCUAUCAACUUGAACCAGUUCCGUGCACCCUUGAAGAAUCAGUUGCUCUAAAUUUUCAUGAGCAGAAAGGUCAGGAGUUCUACGCAAGUAUCUGCAUCCAGUCAAAUUUAAAACCUUCAAAUCCUCUGCCAUCUGUAAUGAAGAGAAGAAGUUAAUUCUGCAUCAUUUUGAGAUACAUGACAACAAAGUCAAUAUAGCAAAUUCAUGUUCAGAGAAUACCAUACCUUGAGGUGGUUCCAUCCAUCCCACUCAUAUGUAAUUUCACUCCAUGAUACAUCAAGAAUCACUAACUUCCUAGGGGAACAUGCAAUGAACUUGAAAAAGAUAGGAAAGUUAUGCCAUGAGAGCCAUCUCAAUUGUGGAAGCAUGAUCGGAUUCCCCCCGAACCAGUUGGUAGAAUGAAAAUUCAAAAGCAUGAUCGGAUUCCUCAAUAACCAGUUGGCAGAAUGAAAAUGCCGAAUGUUGUUCUCAUCCAAGUCUACACCAUCCACUUGAAGAAAUCUUAAAUUUGGUAGGCUUAUGGAUUCUUCCUUCUCAAUGAAGUCUUGAAAUUGAUGAUCAGAUUUGAGACUUAUUGCUUCAACAUUUUCUCUUCCCUGCCAAAGCAAAAAAAUUAAACAGAAGCUAGUGAUCACAUAAUUGCCUGUUGAAGGCAUUCAAGUUGAGCAUACUUGAGGAAUGUACAUUUUAAAUUAAUAAAAUUAAUUUACAAUAUAAUUUACAGAUAAGCAUGUGGUCCCACUAAGCACACAAGUAAUGACUCGGUUUAGAUAAAAACAAAUAAGCAAAGUCAACGUGUAUAAUUCGUUUCUUUGAAAAGGAUUAACAUUGCAAACACUUUACCUCCUUUGUUUCAAGAACAUCAGUUGCUUUCUCUUGAUCCCACACUCGACUUUGCUUCUCUGGUUUAUAAUCACCAGUCUUACGAACGAAAUCUCGCCCAAGGUCUCUUACAAUAUCAUGCAUCCACAGUCUGUUAUGUUCUGUAAUCUUUAUUAACGACAUCUUUUGGAGGACACUAAGAUAAAAGUCAGGUUGAAACCCACAGCUUUCCCACAUGUGCCUCACAAUUCUCACAUCAAACCCAACGAAGAAGCAACAAACAUCAAGAAAUAUUUUCCCCGCUAAUGGUGGUAAUGCCUUAAUACUGAUGUUCAACUUUUCUUCAACUUUUUCAUCGGGAAUAGUUUCCAGCUUCUUUAAUGUGGUCUCCCAAGAUUUUCUGUCUUCCUCAGCUAAAAGAGAACCUAUGAUCUCAAGAACCAAAGGAAGACCACUGCAGAUUUUUACCGCUUUUUUCGAGAGGCCGACGUAUUCAGCCGGAGCAUGAUCACUUUUAAAGGCAUGUUUGCUAAAUAGUAUAAGGGAACGAUCAAAAUCCAUUUCAAUAACUUGGUGCUUCAUAUCAACAUGUUUGAGAACUUCCUCAUUUCUUGUGGUGAUAAUAACCUUACUUCCUCUGCAAAACCAGCAUUUACCCAUCCCCACAAGAGCAUCCAGCUCAGUCUUUUGGUCGACAUCAUCAAUUACGAGUAAGACCUUUUUAAAGGAUAAACUCUUCUUGACCUCAGUUAUCCCUUCUGCAAUGUCAUGGAUUGGCAGACAUUUCCCUUUUCGGAGAGUAGAGAUGAGCUGAUCCUGCGAACUCAGAAUUCCUUUAUGUCGAACACCAAACAGGAAGCAACAGUCAUCAAAAUUAGCUGACAAUUUAGUAUAGACAAUUCUAGCAAGAGUUGUCUUUCCGACACCACCCAUUCCAUGGAUACCAAUAAUCUUUGUUUCAGAGGUGUCUUCACCUAUCAUUUCCAUGAUCUCGUCCACUUGAUCAUCCAUUUCAACCAAGCAAUCAAGUGCUCCCAAGUAGCUCUUUUUCAACUCGAACAAAACCUUAUCAACAACUUCUUUCAUGAACUCGCCUUUGCCUCUGAUAGUUUCGAAGGCAAAAGAAUCAAACUGUUAAGUCGAGAUGAACAGAAUAAUAUCUACGGUACAAACAAAUCGUGCACAAUAAUAAAUUCAAGUACCUCUUAUUAAGUUCGCAUCCCUUUAAUUUUCCAACCUUGUUGAGAGCUGCCUUCCAGUUCAUAGUCUUAUCAGUGUUUUCAUUUAUGUGUGACUGAAUGGCGUGACCGUAGGUUCCAGUCUGCUUACGAACCAUCCGUGGUUCAACGUCAUAGAAAAUUGGUAUGAUCUUUUGUCCCCACUUUUCCUUGCACUCCACCAUCUGGGCCAAUUCCAUGAGGCACCAUUUACUGGCAGCAUAUCCUUUAGAAAAGAUAGGAAUCAAGAUUUUCAACUGCUUAAUCGCAUGGAGAAGCUCCGGGCCAAUCUCUUCCCCAACGUGAAGCUCUUCAUUAUCUCUAAAUGUUCGUAUUCUGGCAUCAGUGAGGCUGUGGUAAAGGUAAUCAGUGAUGUCGUUGCGAGUAUCUGAUCCUCUGAAGCUCAAGAAUACAUCAUAACAAGGUUCCUUUGGCUCCUCCAUUCCUGAAUUUUCAGAGGACUUUGCUAGGACUUGAUAUGCCACCUGAAAAAUGCUUAUUAUGAAAGUGGAGUGAUGAUGAUCAUGAUUUCUCUCAGAAUUUUUUUUUUCUUUUUUUUUUAAAGUCACUAUAGAAAGACACCUUGAUGACAAAUGCAUGAGCUCCAUCUGCGGCCUUCUAGACAACAAAAUAUAUUUCCUUCCUUUAUAAAAAAUUUAGUAGAGAAGUCAAACCAUCUCAAUUCUAAAGGAAGAAAUCUCCAAAUUAUUGCAGAAUUAUGGGUUUUAAUUCACACUCCAGAUUGAUUGAAAAAAAAAAAAACAUUUCGUGCAAAGAUAAAUCACUGCCAACCUAUAUUUGUCUUAAACUCUUUCUUUAGGUGAUAAAGUAUCCCCUGAAAGGUGAUGUCGAAUGUCCUCUGCACAUAAGCGCCUAAUGUUGCUUGUUGGUUGACUAAUUAUCUUAUUAUCUGAUAAGAAAUUAUGAUCAAACCUUCCUAAUUUCGUUUAACAAAAAUAGAUUUGACAAACAACACUCAUUUAGUUGCUUCCUCAACCUUAACAGUUGCUGGUGAAGAAUUCAUUCCCCUAUGAUGAUCUCACUAGAAUAAUGAAAUCAAGAAAUUACACUAAAGCAAAUGCAACUCUCACCAUAUUGGACUAGUUUCUUAAGAUCAUAAACUGAUCCCUAAUUACAGCCAUCUCAUAGGUUAUCAAAGAACAGAUACACGGUCAUGGGUGAGCAUCAGUUAGGGUUGAAGAUAUUUUCCACACUUGCAAGUACCAGCAUAUUAAAAAAAUGGGAUUUACUCACUAAUCAACUAUGGGGUUAAUAAGAUUUCAACAGAAAAAAUAAAAGCAUGAAUGCUAUAUUACUGUUUUUUUAAAAUAAGUUGGAAAACACAGGAGUGUAGGGAUGAGAGCCGCAUUUUAUGAAAGCAGAGAGUUCUGGUUCACCACAGAGUGCAACAGUAUAGUGUAUUCAGUCCGUCUCUACUGUUAAAUACAGAGUUGAGGGUAUCAAUUUUCUGCCUAGAAGCGUUCUUACUGCUAAUCACUAGACAAUAAUGUACGAAUUUGUCAUAUCAAAGUCUCUUAAAGAUACCACCAUCACUAUUCGCACAAAAAAAAAAAAUCCCAUCAAAAAAUGAAAUCAACAGAUCCACUCUAACAAAUUUAGCUUUUAGCGCCAGCAAUCCACGCGAAAACUCAGAGAGAGAGAGAGAGAGAGAGAGAGAGAGAGAGAGAGUACGUGGGUGACGAGCUCGUAAGACUGAGCGUUGUCGAUGAUGGAACCGGACUUGCCUCUGCCUUCGCUGCCACCGCCGCCCUUCCUCCUCUUCUUCUUCUCGCCGCUCCUCUUCUUCAGCUUGUAGUCGCGAGGGCCGCCGCCGCCGCCGCCGCCGCCGCCUUUGAGGAGCUCACUCCGAGGCUCGACACUGCUCGCGUCCGCUUCAGCUUCAUGCCGUCUCUUCUUCUUCGCCACUCCCGCUCUCCGAUAUCAGAAAGUUUCGACUUUUCGACAUGGUACGAGGUCGACUGGUCAAGGGUUUAGGCGUCGAUCUUGGUGGUGGUAUUGCGUUUCGGGAUCUGAGGCCCGACACUUGCACAGAUGGAAGCAGAUGAGCAAGGUUUUAGCACCGGACUAGAGUCAGAGGCUAAAGCUAUUAGUGUUAGACGCAACUGACUGUGAUCAGUCAUGAAGUCAACUGAGAAAGAAUUGAUACUGAUCUGAGAGCCCUCUCUUGUUUCCAUCAAAUUCUGCAUCUAGUUGCCUUACAGAACAGACCCAAUUCAUUAUGAAGAAGGCAAUCAACGAGAGGAAAUUACCGGAGAUGGAGGGGGUGAAGAUGAAAGGUCCGGAUCAAAUGCUGAGAAGCAGAUAAAAGAUCCCAA